ACGGGGUGCAGCAGGCGCGAAAACUCCGCAAUACACGAAAGUGUGACGGGGGAACCCCAAGUGCGCUCACGCAAGUGAGUGCUUUUGUGAAGUGUAAAUAGCUUCACGAAUAAAAGCUGGGUAAGACCGGUGCCAGCCGCCGCGGUAACACCGGCAGCUUGAGUGGUGAUCACUAUUAUUGGGCCUAAAGCGUCCGUAGCCUGUUUGGUAAGUCCUUGGGCAAAUCCUGUCGCUUAACGGCAGGAAUUCUGAGGAUACUGUCAGACUUGAGGUCGAGAGAGGUCGGAGGUACUCCUGGGGUAGCGGUGAAAUGCUAUAAUCCUGGGGGGACCACCAGUGGCGAAAGCGUCCGACCAGAGCGAGCCUGACGGUAAGGGACGAAAGCCAGGGGAGCGAACGGGAUUAGAUACCCCGGUAGUCCUGGCCGUAAACGCUGUGGGCUAGGUGUUGCAUGCUCUACGAGGGCAUGCAGUGCCGAAGAGAAGUUGAUAAGCCUACCGCCUGGAAGUACUAUCGCAAGAU
rnacentral:rRNA from 1 species